rnacentral:tRNA from 1 species
GCCCGCGUAACUUAGUGGUAGAGUGUUGUACUUAUGAUGCAAAAGUCGGCGGUUCGAUCCCGCCCGUGGGCA